rnacentral:rRNA from 1 species
CCCAAAACUCCAAGGACUUGACGGUAUCUCAUACAACCUAGAGGAGCCUGUCCUACAAUCGAUACCCCACGACAUACCCAACCCACCCUAGAAGAACAUAGUCAGCCUAUAUACCGCCGUCGUCAGUUUGCCUCAUGAAAGACACCCACAGCAAACAAAACACUCCUAUCACUAAUACGUCAGGUCAAGGUGUAGUUCAUGAGUGGGCAGAGAUGGGCUACAUUCUCGCAUGCCGAGCACACCAACAGCAACAUGAAAUCAUUUAAGCCAAAAGGUGGAUUUAGCAGUAAGCCAAGCAAGAUGUGCCUGACUGAAGACAGCCCUGAGACGCGUACACACCGCCCGUCACCCUCAUCAACAUCCAAAAACACAAAUUAACUAAAACAAAUUUAAUACUACUAGAUGAGACAAG